AGGCCAUACCACCCUGGACCCUGAAUGCACCCGAUCUCAUCUGAGCUCACNAAGCUAAUCAGGGUCAGGCAUGGUUAGUACUUGGAUGGGAGAGCUCUUUGGUUACUUAAGAAUAUGUUCUA
rnacentral:rRNA from 1 species